GGUGGUUAUUACGACGAGGCCACACCUGUUCCCAUCCCGAACACAGAAGUUAAGCUCGUCCGUGUCCAAGAUACUCGGCUGGAGACGGCCUGGAAAAAUAGAUCGCUGCCG
rnacentral:rRNA from 1 species